CCUACGGGGGGCAGCAAUGAGGAAUAUUGGUCAAUGGACGGAAGUCUGAACCAGCCAUGCCGCGUGCAGGAAGACGGCUCUAUGAGUUGUAAACUGCUUUUGUACAAGGGUAAACCUGAAUACGUGUAUUCAGCUGAAAGUACUGUACUAAUAAGGAUCGGCUAACUCCGUGCCAGCAGCCGCGGUAAUACGGAGGAUCCAAGCGUUAUCCGGAUUUAUUGGGUUUAAAGGGUGCGUAGGCGGAUUGAUAAGUUAGAGGUGAAAUGUCCGAGCUUAACUCGGGAACUGCCUCUAAUACUGGUGAUCUAGAGAGUAGAUGAGGUAGGCGGAAUGUAUGGUGUAGCGGUGAAAUGCGUAGAGAUCAUACAGAACACCGAUUGCGAAGGCAGCCUACCGAUCUAUAUCUGACGUUGAGGCACGAAGGCGUGGGGAGCGAACAGGAUUAGAUACCCGAGUAGUC
rnacentral:rRNA from 1 species